rnacentral:rRNA from 1 species
CACGGUGACCAAAGUGGAGAGGCAAUACCCGUUCCCAUUCCGAACACGGAAGUCAAGCUCUCUAACGUCGAUGAUACUGGGAAAACCCGGGAAAGUAGAUAGUUGCCGCAU